GGCGUGGUGGCGGGUGCCUCUAAUCCCAGCUACUCAGAGGCUGAGGCAGAAACCUGAACAAACAUCUUUCAUUAAAGGAUAUUCUUAGGCAUAUAAGAGGCCAUGUGAGCCCACAGCGAGAAGGCUGCCAUCUGCUGGCCAAGAGAAUUGGUCUCGGAAUGAAACCACCUUGUGGCCACCUUGAUCUUGGACUUCCAGCUUACAGAACUGUGAGAAAUACAUUUUUGUUGUUUAAGUCACCCUGUCUAUGAUAUUUUGUAUGGCAGCCUGAGCUAUGAUAUAUGGAAUGCCUAUUUAUUAUUUUUUAAUAUCUAUUUCAAUCUUAUCAGGUAGCUACUUCAUUAGCCCAACGUUGCACAUUGAGGUUUACGGAACUAACUUGUCCAAUGUCACACAGCUGAUCACUGGAAGAACCAGGAAUUAAAGUCUUCUGAUUCUAAAUUCUAAAUUCGUUUCUUUUCUUUU